rnacentral:tRNA from 1 species
GUAAAGAGGAAACCUUAAUGUAUUUCUAAAAUCUUUCUUAGAAAACAGAAUACGGCGGGCCUUUCGAGCCCGUGACCCGGGUUCAAAUCCCGGCCGCGGCA